UUGGGGAAUGAGCCACUUGAAAAGUUGUGUACCCCUGUCUGGAGAGGGGGGCCUGAGCUGGAGUCAGCUGCCAGGACUGACAGUCUCUAAAACACUGGCGUGCAUCAAGCCGGGCCACCAACCCCCGAGGCAGGGUCAGUGGUCCCCAUUUCCACUUAUAUCUGGUUAAGUCCCUGUAUCACUCCUAGAAGUAGAGUCGUCUGCACCCCACCCCCCUUAAGUGGUACAGUCUCCAUAGAUGACUCAACCCCUCCUUCAGAUGGUUCAGCCCUACUCCUCCCCACAAAGUGGUCCCAACUCCCCCUUUCCAGAUGGUGCAGUGCACACUGCGCCCCUCCCCAAAAGAUAAAGUCUCAAAGAGGAUGUAAUAAUUUUCCAGAUAGUAUAGGCCACCCGAACCCCCCUUUAAUCCCAUCAAGGAUUUAGCCCCCUUUCCAGAUGGUACAGUCCACCAUGCUCCCCCCUCUUUAAUGGUUCAGUCCACCGUGUUCCAGUUUCCCCUCCUCUCCACCACCCCUCCGCCCGCAAGUGUGCUGUUCAAUCUCUACUUCAUCCUCAGAGAACUCUCCAAGUCCAGGCAGGUGUCCAGCUUGCGUGGCACAGUUCCCCUGUCCCCCUCUCCCUCGAAGGUGGCACAGUCUGCUGCGCCCACACACCCUUCUUGCACCUGCCAGGUGGGAGGCCCAGUGCCCCACCCCUGCAGGUGGUCCAUCCCGCCGGCCCCUCCUCGGUGAUGCUGCCACAGGGUUGGUACAGCCCCCCGCGUCCUCUCUCAGGAGCCGCAGUCUGCCGCCUUCCCCCGCCCAACAUCUACCAGCUGGGCGUCCCAGUCCCCGCGACGCCCUCCCCCAGAGGUGGCCCAGCCCGCCCACCGAGGGGCCCCAGCCCUGCCUCGCACCUGCCAGUACUCACCUCCUUCACCGCCUGCUGCACCACGUCCAGCUCCCCGGUCAGCGCGGCGUCCAGCAGCAGCACGAGCGGGCUGAGGCGCGCGCGACGGACCUUGCGCGGGGAGCCGGCCUUCCG